GACGAACGCUGGCGGCGUGCUUAACACAUGCAAGUCGAACGGUGAAGGGGUCUGCUUUUGUGGGCCCUGGAUGAGUGGCGAACGGGUGAGUAACACGUGAGUAACCUGCCCCCUUCUUCUGGAUAACCGCAUGAAAGUGUGGCUAAUACGGGAUAUUCUGGUUCUGUCGCAUGAUGGGUCUGGGAAAGAUUGCGCCUUUGGGUGUUUUUGGUGGGGGAUGGGCUCGCGGCCUAUCAGCUUGUUGGUGGGGUGAUGGCCUACCAAGGCGGUGACGGGUAGCCGGACUGAGAGGGUGGACGGUCACACUGGGACUGAGACACGGCCCAGACUCCUACGGGAGGCAGCAGUGGGGAAUAUUGCACAAUGGGAGCAAGCCUGAUGCAGCGACGCCGCGUGAGGGAGGGAGGCCUUCGGGUUGUAAACCUCUUUCGCCAGUGAAGCAGGCCUGCUCCUUGUGGGUGGGUUGACGGUAGCUGGAUAAGAAGCGCCGGCUAACUACGUG
rnacentral:rRNA from 1 species